UACGUAGGGUGCAAGCGUUAUCCGGAAUUAUUGGGCGUAAAGAGCUCGUAGGCGGUUCGUCGCGUCGGCUGUGAAAUCCCGAGGCUCAACCUCGGGUCUGCAGUCGAUACGGGCGGACUGGAGUACUGCAGGGGAGACUGGAAUUCCUGGUGUAGCGGUGAAAUGCGCAGAUAUCAGGAGGAACACCGGUGGCGAAGGCGGGUCUCUGGGCAGUUACUGACGCUGAGGAGCGAAAGCGUGGGGAGCGAACAGG
rnacentral:rRNA from 1 species